GGUUUAGAUAGAGGUGCGUUUUUUAUAAGUAUCUGCAAUGAGGAUUCUGGGGUCUUGUGAUUUGCAGUCAAAGGAAAAAACGCCGAAGGUCAUUUACAUCCCAUUUCCUGUGUAAUACCUGGUUUCAAGGUUAAGAGCCUUGUGACUGUCAUCAUAAUGAUGUGGUGGAGCGCUAUCUGUUUA
rnacentral:ncRNA from 2 species